CUCUUUUAGUUUUUAUUGAAAGUCGGGCCUGCUCACUGAUAAAUUAAAGAGCCGCGGUAUUUUGACUGUGCAAAGGUAGCAUAAUCAUUAGUAUAUUAAUUGUAUACUGGAAUGAAAGGUUUGACGAGAAACAUGCUGUCUCUAUUCUAUUCAUAGAAUUUUACUUCCUAGUUAAAAGGCUGGGAUUAAUUUUUAGGACGAUAAGACCCUAUAGAGUUUAACUUUUUUUGUUUAUAUUAUAUUGGUAAUUUUAUUAAUAUUUAUAUUUAAAGUUUUGUUGGGGUGACGUUGAAUAAUAGUUAAACUAUUCAUUUAUUUUUUUCAUUGAUUUAUGUAUUUUUUUUUGAUCUUGUAUUAUUGAUAUAAAGAUAAAAUUACCUUAGGGAUAACAGCGCAAUUAUCUUUGAGAGUUCUUAUUGACAAGAUAGAUUGUGACCUCGAUGUUGGAUUAAGAUUAUUUUCUAGGUGCAGAAGUUUAGUUAAAUU
rnacentral:rRNA from 1 species